UACGUAGGGGGCUAGCGUUGUCCGGAAUCAUUGGGCGUAAAGCGCGUGUAGGCGGCCCGGUAAGUCCGCUGUGAAAGUCGGGGGCUCAACCCUCGGAUGCCGGUGGAUACUGCCGGGCUAGAGUCCGGGAGAGGCGAGUGGAAUUCCUGGUGUAGCGGUGGAAUGCGCAGAUAUCAGGAGGAACACCUAAGGCGAAGGCAGCUCGCUGGAACGGUACUGACGCUGAGGCGCGAAAGCGUGGGGAGCGAACAGG
rnacentral:rRNA from 1 species